AUUGAACGCUGGCGGCAUGCUUUACACAUGCAAGUCGAACGGUAACAGGCCUUCGGGUGCUGACGAGUGGCGAACGGGUGAGUAAUGCAUCGGAACGUACCCAGAGGUGGGGGAUAACGCAGCGAAAGCUGUGCUAAUACCGCAUGUGAUCUGAGGUUGAAAGCGGGGGACCGAGCAGCAAUGUUUGGCCUCGCGCCUUUGGAGCGGCCGAUGUCGGAUUAGCUAGUUGGUGGGGUAAAGGCCUACCAAGGCGACGAUCCGUAGCUGGUCUGAGAGGACGACCAGCCACACUGGGACUGAGACACGGCCCAGACUCCUACGGGAGGCAGCAGUGGGGAAUUUUGGACAAUGGGCGCAAGCCUGAUCCAGCAAUGCCGCGUGCGGGAAGAAGGCCUUCGGGUUGUAAACCGCUUUUGGCAGGAACGAAACGGUGUCCGCUAAUACCGGGCGCUAAUGACGGUACCUGCAGAAUAAGCACCGGCUAACUACGUG
rnacentral:rRNA from 1 species